rnacentral:rRNA from 1 species
AUUAGUUUUUUAAUUGAAGGCUAGAAUGAAUGGUUGGACAAGAAAUAAUCUGUCUUAAUUAAAUAUAUUGAAUUUAACUUUUAAGUGAAAAGGCUUAGAUAAUCUGAAGGGACGAUAAGACCCUAUAAAACUUUAUAUUUAUGAAUGAUAGUUAAUUUUGUUUUGGAAUAUUAUUUUAAAAUAUUUAGUUGGGGUGACAAGGAUAAAAUAUGAAAUAACUGUCUUUUUUUUUUACAGUGAUAUUUGGUUUAAUGAUCCUAAAGUGGAUUAUAAGAUUAAGUUACUUUAGGGAUAACAGCGUAAUUUUCUUUGAGAGUUCUUAUCGACAAGAAAGUUUGCGACCUCGAUGUUGAAUUAAAGGUUCUUUAUAGAGUAGAGACUAUAAUAGAAGG